rnacentral:rRNA from 1 species
GACGAACGCUGGCGGCGUGCCUAAUACAUGCAAGUCGAGCGAAUCGAUGGGAGCUUGCUCCCUGAGAUUAGCGGCGGACGGGUGAGUAACACGUGGGUAACCUGCCUGUAAGACUGGGAUAACUUCGGGAACCGGAGCUAAUACCGGAUACUUUCUUUUCUCGCAUGAGGGAAGAUGGAAAGAUGGUUUCGGCUAUCACUUACAGAUGGACCCGCGGCGCAUUAGCUAGUUGGUGAGGUAACGGCUCACCAAGGCAACGAUGCGUAGCCGACCUGAGAGGGUGAUCGGCCACACUGGGACUGGGACACGGCCCAGACUCCUACGGGAGGCAGCAGUAGGGAAUCUUCCGCAAUGGACGAAAGUCUGACGGAGCAACGCCGCGUGAGCGAAGAAGGCCUUCGGGUCGUAAAGCUCUGUUGUUAGGGAAGAACAAGUACGAGAGUAACUGCUCGUACCUUGACGGUACCUAACCAGAAAGCCACGGCUAACUACGUGCCAGCCGCCGCAGUAAGAC